GCAUCAUAGUUAAAAGAAAUGACUAAACACGAUUUAGCUUAUUGUGGCAUCAGGACCAUUGUGAUAUUGGGAAAUGGUAGUAUAUGCAUGAAUAGGUAAAGACCUUUCAUCGGCAUUGUGGCAUUGAGACAGGUUUGGCUAUACCUCCUCAAAUUGAGGAGGGGAUCAUACUCACAUGUAUUGGUUCCGGCUUGUGGGAGGUCGCUCCUCCACAGGCGGUGUACUCCGGAGUGAUGAAAACACCACGGGUCGACGUGCCCGACGAAGAUCCUUCGGGCAGUAGUGCC
rnacentral:lncRNA from 1 species